CCUACGGGAGGCAGCAGUGGGGAAUUUUGGACAAUGGGCGCAAGCCUGAUCCAGCCAUGCCGCGUGCGGGAAGAAGGCCUUCGGGUUGUAAACCGCUUUCGGCCGGAACGAAAUCGCCCGGGUGAACAUCCCGGGUGGAUGACGGUACCGGAAGAAGAAGCACCGGCUAACUACGUGCCAGCAGCCGCGGUAAUACGUAGGGUGCGAGCGUUAAUCGGAAUUACUGGGCGUAAAGCGUGCGCAGGCGGUCUCGUAAGACAGGUGUGAAAUCCCCGGGCUCAACCUGGGAACUGCGCUUGUGACUGCGAGGCUGGAGUGUGGCAGAGGGAGGUGGAAUUCCACGUGUAGCAGUGAAAUGCGUAGAGAUGUGGAGGAACACCGAUAGCGAAGGCAGCCUCCUGGGCCAGCACUGACGCUCAUGCACGAAAGCGUGGGGAGCAAACAGGAUUAGAUACCCUGGUAGUCCACGCCCUAAACGAUGACGACUAGUUGUUGGGGUAGAAGUACCUUAGUAACGCAGCUAACGCGUGAAGUCGUCCGCCUGGGGAGUACGGUCGCAAGAUUAAAACUCAAAGGAAUUGACGG
rnacentral:rRNA from 1 species